AUGUUAUUAAUUAUUUUGAUGUUAGUAUUGUGCAUCUUCAUAUGCAACAAGAGUCAAACUGACUCUAGGCCAGUGCAUAUUGUACAUGGACAUUGUCUCAUUUCACAGGAAGCUUGUUGCUUAGUGUCACUGUUGCUAGGUAAACAAGUUAUUUGUAGCCAGUGUCAGAUUUCAGCUGGGAGGCUGCAAUGCAGAAAAGCCAUCCUGGACAAGAUUACAGCAAAUGGUGAAAGAAGCCCAGGCUUUCUAUGGCCAGGCCUCCUGCUGAGCAGCUGUUGGCACGCUGAAGGAGCAGCUCAGCUUUGUUCUCCUACCACACUGACCGCUGAGUGCUUUCCCGUGUCAGCAGGACUGGGCUCAAAGCAAGGCCUUGAAGGACUCUAUAUCCGUCUGCUCAUGACAGGGUGCUGUUUGCAAGUCUCCUUUUCCACUGGUCCAAGAGUAUGAGGCUUUCUGCAGAACAGGGGAAAUUCCACACAGAAUCAUGUGACCUACCAGAACGGUACCCGGCAAUUUUAUGGGCAUGCAGGGAAGUUCCUCAUUUGUGAGUUUACUCUGAGUAUGUUGGAUUUUUCAGUUCUUGAUGCUUUGAUUUCACCUCAAUCUCUUACUUUUAUUAAAUGCAGUAUAAUAGAGCUUCAUCUUCAUUAACCAUUGUGCUUUUAAUGGCUUACUUUGUCACAUACAAGGAAAUAAGAAUAUAACUAAAGUUCUGAACUUGAAAAGCACAUUAAAUAUGCUUGAAAAAAUACAUGAAUAAAAUGAAUAAACUAUGAUGGCA
ensembl:lncRNA